CCGUAACUAUAACGGUCCUAAGGUAGCGAAAUUCCUUGUCGGGUAAGUUCCGACCUGCACGAAUGGCGUAAUGAUGGCCAGGCUGUCUCCACCCGAGACUCAGUGAAAUUGAACUCGCUGUGAAGAUGCAGUGUACCCGCGGCAAGACGGAAAGACCCCGUGAACCUUUACUAUAGCUUGACACUGAACAUUGAGCCUUGAUGUGUAGGAUAGGUGGGAGGCUUUGAAGUGUGGACGCCAGUCUGCAUGGAGCCGACCUUGAAAUACCACCCUUUAAUGUUUGAUGUUCUAACGUUGGCCCGUAAUCCGGGUUGCGGACAGUGUCUGGUGGGUAGUUUGACUGGGGCGGUCUCCUCCUAAAGAGUAACGGAGGAGCACGAAGGUUGGCUAAUCCUGGUCGGACAUCAGGAGGUUAGUGCAAUGGCAUAAGCCAGCUUGACUGCGAGCGUGACGGCGCGAGCAGGUGCGAAAGCAGGUCAUAGUGAUCCGGUGGUUCUGAAUGGAAGGGCCAUCGCUCAACGGAUAAAAGGUACUCCGGGGAUAACAGGCUGAUACCGCCCAAGAGUUCAUAUCGACGGCGGUGUUUGGCACCUCGAUGUCGGCUCAUCACAUCCUGGGGCUGAAGUAGGUCCCAAGGGUAUGGCUGUUCGCCAUUUAAAGUGGUACGCGAGCUGGGUUUAGAACGUCGUGAGACAGUUCGGUCCCUAUCUGCCGUGGGCGCUGGAGAACUGAGGGGGGCUGCUCCUAGUACGAGAGGACCGGAGUGGACGCAUCACUGGUGUUCGGGUUGUCAUGCCAAUGGCACUGCCCGGUAGCUAAAUGCGGAAGAGAUAAGUGCUGAAAGCAUCUAAGCACGAAACUUGCCCCGAGAUGAGUUCUCCCUGACUCCUUGAGAGUCCUGAAGGAACGUUGAAGACGACGACGUUGAUAGGCCGGGUGUGUAAGCGCAGCGAUGCGUUGAGCUAACCGGUACUAAUGAACCGUGAGGCUUAACCUU
rnacentral:rRNA from 1 species